rnacentral:rRNA from 1 species
UACGAAGGAUCCAAGCGUUGUCCGGAUUUACUGGGUUUAAAGGGUGCGUAGGCGGACUUUUAGGUCAGUGGUGAAAGCCUGUAGCUUAACUAUAGAAUUGCCAUUGAAACUGAAAGUCUCGAGUGUGGUUGAGGUAACUGGAAUAUAUCAUGUAGCGGUGAAAUGCUUAGAUAUGAUAUAGAACACCAAUUGCGAAGGCAGGUUACUGAGCCAUUACUGACGCUGAGGCACGAAAGCGUGGGGAUCAAACAGG